GGACUGGGAGGGCCGGGGACGAUGGGAGGAGGAGGGCCGGGAGGGCCGGAGAUGACACCGACACGGGAGGAGGAGGAAGAGGGCUGGGAGGGCUGGAGACAACGCUGACAUGGGAGGAGGAGGGCCGGGAGGGCCAGAGGCGACACCACACGGGAGGAAGUAGGCACAGCAGCAGAGACUCAGUGUGAGAGGUCGAUAUAUCCCCCAGGGUUUUUUGGGUAGACAGGCGGGCAGCCAGAGAUCUGCACCAGGGCCCAGAACUGGAUGAGAAAAAACAAGGACAAUUGGGCAUGGAGGUGUGCGACUCCCUGAGUGGCAGUGACAGAGAGCUGGUCAUACAGCAGGCAAGCACUUCCCAGCGCUCAUCUUAAAUUUAUUCUCAGGAACAAGCCAUUCCUAACAAUCUAGAGAGAGAGCAAAAAUGUAAGAUGGGUUACGGUAUAUUACUUAUAUAAUAGCAUAUACACACACCAUGAAACCUGGUAUUUAAAUUUCCCUCAGUAUCUUGGAUGCACUCAGAUGAGCGGAUACAAUCAUUAAAAAUCAUGUUGCGAAAUAAUACCUAAAACAUGGGAUAUAAUUUCUAAAAGUCAA
rnacentral:lncRNA from 10 species